GAUGAAGAACGCAGCGAAAUGCGUUACGUAAUGUGAACUGCAGAAUUCAGUGAAUCAUCGAGUCUUUGAACGCACAUUGCGCCCCCUGGUAUUCCGGGGGGCAUGCCUGUCCGAGCGUCAUUGCUGCCCUCAAGCACGGCUUGUGUGUUGGGCCUCCGCCCCCCGGCUCCCGGGGGGCGGGCCCGAAAGGCAGCGGCGGCACCGCGUCCGGUCCUCGAGCGUAUGGGGCUUCGUCACCCGCUCCGUAGGCCCGGCCGGCGCCCGCCGGCGACCCCCCUCAAUCUUUCCAGGUUGACCUCGGAUCAGGUAGGGAUACCCGCUGAACUUAAGCAUAUCAAUAAGCGGAGGA
rnacentral:misc_RNA from 1 species